GCGAGAAAGUCUAGUGGAACGAUGCAGGGUUCAUUGGGUUUGUUUACAAAAAUUCAAGCAUCCGGUUAAGAAGACGACAAAUAAGAAUGGUAUUAAGUUGGUAGAAUGGAACUCCUUCCUGAUUCCUGCACAUGUAAGUUACCAGAUACUCUUGAGGGACCAAUUUAAGGGCAAACAGACAAACGUUUUGAUGCAAAGAAAGCAUUGGAUUUGAAAGUUCCCAUGGAGAAGAAAAAUGGAGAGAUUCUAAAAGUAUGAAGAUACUCCUGUGUAUAAUGAGGAAAUCUUGUCAGUGAAUGUUGUUGCAAUUGUGGACCAGGCCAGAGUUGUACUAAACCAACUAAGACACAAUGAGAUACAGGAAUGACACAAUGAGAAACAGGAAACAGGAAAGUGAUGACUGAUCGCCACCUGUUACAAAUUCAUCUAGAAAACUCCCCACAUCCAACAAGAGACAGUCUGACUUCAAAAUCUUCAUUGAAGGCAACUUAAUGG